rnacentral:rRNA from 1 species
UACGAAGGGGGCUAGCGUUGUUCGGAAUCACUGGGCGUAAAGGGCGCGUAGGCGGCUUUGGUAAGUCGGGGGUGAAAGCCUGUGGCUCAACCACAGAAUUGCCUUCGAUACUGCAUGGCUUGAGACCGGAAGAGGUUAGUGGAACUGCCGAGUGUAGAGGUGAAAUUCGUAGAUAUUCGCAAGAACACCAGUGGCGAAGGCGG